CAGCCGCCACGGGAAUACGAAGGGUGCACGCGUUACUCGGAAUUACUGGGCGUAAAGCGUGCGUAGGUGGUGGUUUAAGUCCGUUGUGAAAGCCCUGGGCUCAACCUGGGAAUUGCAGUGGAUACUGGGUCACUAGAGUGUGGUAGAGGAUAGUGGAAUUUCCGGUGUAGCAGUGAAAUGCGUAGAGAUCGGAAGGAACAUCUGUGGCGAAGGCGACUAUCUGGGCCAACACUGACACUGAGGCACGAAAGCGUGGGGAGCAAACAGGAUUAGAUACCCGCGUAGUCCCUGUCUCUUAUAC
rnacentral:rRNA from 1 species